rnacentral:rRNA from 1 species
GACACAGGGAGGUAGUGACAAGAAAUAACAAUACAGGGCUACUGUCUUGUAAUUGGAAUGAUGGUGACUUAAACCCUCACCAGAGUACCAAUUGGAGGGCAAGUCUGGUGCCAGCAGCCGCGGUAAUUCCAGCUCCAAUAGCGUAUAUUAAACUUGUUGCAGUUAAAAAGCUCGUAGUUGAAUUUCAGCGUUUCGCGUGUGCCUCUUUUGGCCCAUCUCGUCUCGCUUUUUUUAUUACUUUGAGAAAAUUAGAGUGUUUCAAGCAGGCUUUUGUCUUGAAUACUUGAGCAUGGAAUAAUAGAGUAGGACCUUGGUUCUAUUUUGUUGGUUUUGUUACCUUGGUAAUGGUUAAUAGGAACGGUUGGGGGCAUUCGUAUUUAACUGUCAGAGGUGAAACUCUUAG